UUUUUUUUUUUUCUCUGCUCAGGACGAACGCUGGCGGCGUGCUUAACACAUGCAAGUCGAACGAUGAUGCCCAGCUUGCUGGGCGGAUUAGUGGCGAACGGGUGAGUAAUACGUGAGUAACCUGCCCUUGACUCUGGGAUAAGCCUGGGAAACUGGGUCUAAUACUGGAUACUACCUCUUACCGCAUGGUGGGUGGUGGAAAGGGUUUUACUGGUUUUGGAUGGGCUCACGGCCUAUCAGCUUGUUGGUGGGGUAAUGGCUCACCAAGGCGACGACGGGUAGCCGGCCUGAGAGGGUGACCGGCCACACUGGGACUGAGACACGGCCCAGACUCCUACGGGAGGCAGCAGUGGGGAAUAUUGCACAAUGGGCGGAAGCCUGAUGCAGCGACGCCGCGUGAGGGAUGACGGCCUUCGGGUUGUAAACCUCUUUCAGUAGGGAAGAAGCGAGAGUGACGGUACCUGCAGAAGAAGCGCCGGCUAACUACGUGCCAGCAGCCGCGGUAAUACGUAGGGCGCAAGCGUUGUCCGGAAUUAUUGGGCGUAAAGAGCUCGUAGGCGGUUUGUCGCGUCUGCUGUGAAAGCCCGGGGCUCAACCCCGGGUCUGCAGUGGGUACGGGCAGACUAGAGUGCAGUAGGGGAGACUGGAAUUCCUGGUGUAGCGGUGAAAUGCGCAGAUAUCAGGAGGAACACCGAUGGCGAAGGCAGGUCUCUGGGCUGUUACUGACGCUGAGGAGCGAAAGCAUGGGGAGCGAACAGGAUUAGAUACCCUGGUAGUCCAUGCCGUAAACGUUGGGCACUAGGUGUGGGGGACAUUCCACGUUUUCCGCGCCGUAGCUAACGCAUUAAGUGCCCCGCCUGGGGAGUACGGCCGCAAGGCUAAAACUCAAAGGAAUUGACGGGGGCCCGCACAAGCGGCGGAGCAUGCGGAUUAAUUCGAUGCAACGCGAAGAACCUUACCAAGGCUUGACAUUCACCGGACCGCCCCAGAGAUGGGGUUUCCCUUCGGGGCUGGUGGACAGGUGGUGCAUGGUUGUCGUCAGCUCGUGUCGUGAGAUGUUGGGUUAAGUCCCGCAACGAGCGCAACCCUCGUUCUAUGUUGCCAGCACGUGAUGGUGGGGACUCAUAGGAGACUGCCGGGGUCAACUCGGAGGAAGGUGGGGAUGACGUCAAAUCAUCAUGCCCCUUAUGUCUUGGGCUUCACGCAUGCUACAAUGGCCGGUACAAAGGGUUGCGAUACUGUGAGGUGGAGCUAAUCCCAAAAAGCCGGUCUCAGUUCGGAUUGAGGUCUGCAACUCGACCUCAUGAAGUCGGAGUCGCUAGUAAUCGCAGAUCAGCAACGCUGCGGUGAAUACGUUCCCGGGCCUUGUACACACCGCCCGUCAAGUCACGAAAGUUGGUAACACCCGAAGCCGGUGGCCUAACCCCUUGUGGGAGGGAGCCGUCGAAGGUGGGACUGGCGAUUGGGACUA
rnacentral:rRNA from 1 species